UACAGAGGUGGCAAGCGUUGUUCGGAAUUACUGGGCGUAAAGGGCGCGUAGGCGGCCAUCUAAGUCAGACGUGAAAUCCCUCGGCUUAACCGGGGAACUGCGUCUGAUACUGGCGAGCUUGAGUGCAGGAGAGGAACGCGGAAUUCCAGGUGUAGCGGUGAAAUGCGUAGAUAUUGGGAAGAACACCGGUGGCGAAGGCGGCUCACUGGCUCAUUACUGACGCUCAGGCGCGAUAGCGUGGGGAUCAAACAGG
rnacentral:rRNA from 1 species